rnacentral:tRNA from 1 species
GCAAUAAGAGGAAAUAAUACUCACUUUUGGCUUACAAGACCAAUGCUCUAAACUUAAGCUAUUAUUGC